rnacentral:ncRNA from 1 species
GGGCCAAGCAGUAAGUCAGGAUGUGAGUCAAAUGCUUACAUCCGGGUUGACAAGCUGUGAUGGGGAGCGAAAUUACAGUAGCGAAGUUGCCGAUGUCACACUGCCGAGAAAAGCUUCUAAGGAGCACGUUAACUGCCCGUACCGCAAACCGACACAGGUAGUCGAGGAGAGAAUCCUAAGGUGAGCGAGUGAACUCUCGUUAAGGAACUCGGCAAAAUGACCCCGUAACUUCGGGAGAAGGGGUGCUGGUCGCAAGACCAGCCGCAGUGAAUAGGCCCAGGCGACUGUUUAUCAAAAACACAGGUAUCUGCAAAAUCGUAAGAUGACGUAUAGGUGCUGACACCUGCCCGGUGCUGGAAGGUUAAGAGGAGAGCUUAGCGCAAGCGAAGGUUUGAAUUGAAGCCCCAGUAAACGGCGGCCGUAACUAUAACGGUCCUAAGGUAGCGAAAUUCCUUGUCGGGUAAGUUCCGACCUGCACGAAAGGUGUAAUGAUUUGGGCACUGUCUCAACGAGAGACUCGGUGAAAUUAUAAUACCCGUGAAGAUGCGGGUUACCCGCGACAGGACGGAAAGACCCCAUGGAGCUUUACUGUAGCUUGAUAUUGAGUAUUUGUUAAACAUGUACAGGAUAGGUAGGAGCCAGAGAAAGUAGGACGCUAGUCUUACUGGAGGCAAUGUUGGGAUACUACCCUUGUUUGAUGGAUCCUCUAACUCACAGAGCUGAGCGUUCUGGAGGACAGUGUCAGGUGGGCAGUUUGACUGGGGCGGUCGCCUCCUAAAAUGUAACGGAGGCGCCCAAAGGUUCCCUCAGAAUGGUUGGAAAUCAUUCGCAGAGUGUAAAGGUAUAAGGGAGCUUGACUGCGAGAGGUACACCUCGAGCAGGGACGAAAGUCGGGCUUAGUGAUCUGGUGGUACUGCAUGGAAAGGCCAUCACUCAACGGAUAAAAGCUACCCUGGGGAUAACAGGCUUAUCUCCCCCAAGAGUUCACAUCGACGGGGAGGUUUGGCACCUCGAUGUCGGCUCGUCGCAUCCUGGGGCUGAAGUCGGUCCCAAGGGUUGGGCUGUUCGCCCAUUAAAGCGGCACGCGAGCUGGGUUCAGAACGUCGUGAGACAGUUCGGUCCCUAUCCGUCGUGGGCGUAGGAAAUUUGAGAGGAGCUGUCCUUAGUACGAGAGGACCGGGAUGGACAUACCGCUGGUGUACCAGUUGUCUUGCCAAAGGCAUCGCUGGGUAGCUAUGUAUGGAAGGGAUAAGCGCUGAAAGCAUCUAAGUGCGAAGCCCCCCUCAAGAUGAGAUUUCCGAUGCGUAAGCAGUAAGACACCUUAAAGACGAUGAGGUAGAUAGGCUAGGAGUGGAAGCAUAGCGAUAUGUGGAGCGGACUAGUACNNNNNNNNNNNNNNNNNNNNNNNN